UGUUCACACUGGUGCUCCUCAUCAAGCACCCCAGAGCUCACAGCAACCCCCAGGGUUCUCAGUGGUCCCUGUGUUUCCAGUGCCCCCAACAGACCCCACUGCCCCAAGUUGUCCCAGUGUUCCCACAACCCCCAGUGUUCCCAGUGCCUCCAGUGGCCCCAAUGUCCCCACAGUGGUCCUGGUGCCCCCAGCAGCCCCGAGUGCUCCCAGUAUUCCCAGGGCCCCCAGCAAACCUAAGUCUUCCAGUGUUCCCAGUGCCCCCAGUGCCCUCAGCAGUGCCAGUGCUCCCAGCAAACCCUGUGCUCCUACUGCACCCGGUGCUCCCAAUGUUCCCAGUGAUCACAGUGCCCUCAGUCAACCUAGUGCUCCCCAAGUUCCAGAGCUAACGUGGAGAAUAUCCAUUCUCCCCCUUCUCCCUUGCGCCCAGCCACCAUGGCCAGCCACAGCUCCCAGCAGGAGGGACAUCGGGGUCUCCACUAGUGACAGCUUUGCCAGGUUGUGCCACUCAUUGUGGUGACCCCAUCCCCGAUGACCCUUUCCCACUGGUGACUCCAUGCUUCUGGUGACUCAUACCCUGGUGCUCCCAUCCCCUGCUGAUCCCCUACAUCUCAAGAAGAUGACAGGAGUGAUGUUCUCACCUUGGACAUGGCCCCUGAUGGCCACAGGAGCAUUAUUCAGCCUAAGAAGGUGCCAAACCUGAUACAGGAGUCUCGUAGCCACCAGGACCUGCACUAGGAGCUACUCUUCAGCCACAGCAGGGCCAAGCUCCAGAAGAUGCUGGAGAGCUGGUGGCUGAGUCCCCUGUGGGAGGAGCUGCAGGGACCCCCAUCUGACCUGGAGCAGCAGCUGAGGAAGCGCCACCACAGACUUGAGGAGGGACAGCCAAGUGCUGAUCGGGCUGUUGGAGCAGUUCAGCUGAGUAAUGUUCAGGGAACUUGAGGAGUGGCCGAAGGAAGCUGAACAGGGUGGACACGGGUCAAGGGAUGACCAUCAGUGACCAGGUCAUGGUAACAGCUGAGGGAACACCUGUGUCAGGAGACAAUCAGGUCAUGGGGGGGGCUGAGGGAAUCCCAACCAGGCCUCAUGGCUGCCCCUCCUGCAGCCUGAGCGAGAGCUGGCUGGGCCAGAGCUGGACCCUCAUCCCAAGUUCCUGCAGGUAUGGGACAGCCUGCAGAACAUGAAGCUGGCAGAGGCAGGUGCCUGGCACAUGUAAGCCAAAGACAGCCCAGCAGAGCUCCCUGAGCCCCCUGGCACACACUGGGCUGCCCCUGUCCCCAGCACAUCCUGGCACUGGGAACAGCACGCGGCACUGUCAUUCUGAGUGAGCUUGUGGUUGGGGGUGAGUACUGGAGCCUUGGUGUCCCCAUGCUGGUGACAACCAGGAUGCCAGGGUAGGAAGGAGGUGGUAACACCAGGGCAGUGCCAGGGGUGAUAUGGGGGAUGCAGGCAACACUCUCCCUCAGACCUGUACCUGCCCUGACUCCAUGAACC